UGCAAAGAUGAAUGAUUUUAUGAUGAAUAUCUUUGGCCCGUAGUGCAAAGAUGAACAUGUGUUUAGAUUAACAUGACCAACUGGUGAAUAUCUUUGGCCUGUAGUGCAAAGAUGAAUAUUUGAUUUAUGAUGUAUAUUGAUUGAUGUUAGAGGGAUAAAAUAUUGAUGAUGGACUUUUAAAUUCAUAGAUGGUAGUAGAUAUCAUUCUCUACUUAACUCUUCUAAUGAAUUGUUGUUUCCGCUGCAGUUGUUG
rnacentral:lncRNA from 1 species